GAUGAACGCUGGCGGCGUGCCUAAUACAUGCAAGUCGAGCGAACGGACGAGAAGCUUGCUCCUCUGAUGUUAGCGGCGGACGGGUGAGUAACACGUGGAUAACCUACCUAUAAGACUGGGAUAACUUCGGGAAACCGUAGCUAAUACCGGAUAAUAUUUUGAACCGCAUGGUUCAAAAGUGAAAGACGGUCUUGCUGUCACUUAUAGAUGGAUCCGCGCUGCAUUAGCUAGUUGGUAAGGUAACGGCUUACCAAGGCAACGAUGCAUAGCCGACCUGAGAGGGUGAUCGGCCACACUGGAACUGAGACACGGUCCAGACUCCUACGGGAGGCAGCAGUAGGGAAUCUUCCGCAAUGGGCGAAAGCCUGACGGAGCAACGCCGCGUGAGUGAUGAAGGUCUUCGGAUCGUAAAACUCUGUUAUUAGGGAAGAACAUAUGUGUAAGUAACUGUGUACAUCUUGACGGUUCCUAAUCAGAAAGCCACGGCUAACUACGUG
rnacentral:rRNA from 1 species